GCCUGCCUAGCUCAAUCGGAUAGAGCGUCAGACUCUUAAUCUGAAGGUUGCGAGUUCGACCCUCGCGGUGGGUU
rnacentral:tRNA from 1 species